GGGCGGGGCGCGGCGGGCUCGGGCGCCCCCUGCUGGCCUGGCGCCGCGUGGCGCCCCCCGCAGGCCUGCCACCUUCGGCCAGUUUCAAGGAGAGGCUCGAAAAUGCACUCUUUAAAGCCCAUGCUGUGUCCUCGAGGGCGUUGCUGUCGUUAGGAGGCUGAGAGACUGGGAUGGAGGUGCCGGAGGCUGCUGGGGCGCCCGUGCAGGGAGACAGCCCCGUGCGGGAGAGGCACGCUGGUGACCAGCGAGGGCCUCCCGGCAUGGGACGUACUGGAGUAGAGGCCUGGAGGCCGCAGGCGCCGCGUGGGAACACCCGGAAGCUCAGGGUGCAGAUUUUAUUUAUUCAGGAGAGACACAGAGAGAGAGACGCAGACACAGGCAGAGGGAGAAGCAGGCUCCAUGCGGGGAGCCCGACGUGGGACUCGAUCCCGGGACUCCAGGAUCACGGCCUGGGCCGGAGGCAGACGCUUAACUGCUGAGCCACCCAGGGAUCCCAGAUGUGAGGGUUCUAAGCAAAGCCCUGGCUGUUAAUGACUUUUAAAUACUGUCCCUGGCCUAACCCCCUGAACUCAAGAAAACUCCUAGGAACUUCUGCCCGUCAAUCUUACUUUUUGAAAAUGAACUAAGGAAUUGCUGUAACAGGAAAAGAAACAUUUGAGGAUAAUGCCUGCACAGAUGAAUCAGAAAGUGCCUCAGCCUCACAAUAAUGGUAAAAUCUCACCCUGAAUAUUCACGCCAAGGCCUAAUAAAAGGGGCCUGCUUCUCCUUGUUCAGGCAAUCAAGGCUUUGGAAGUCAUUCCUUGCACUCUCCUUGUUUGUACAAGUAAAGUGGCCCUGGGAGGCAACCACCUCGUACAGUUUCUGUCUAUGGUUCACCGAGAAGUGGCCUUGCUUUGGUUGGUAAUAAUAGUACUCCAGUUAGGGUGGAGGGUGAAUGGCAGAUGGUAGAAUGAAAACUGCAGCGGCACUCGGGUGCUCGGUGGUUGAGCGUCUGCCUUUGGCUCAGGUCAUGAUCCUGGGGUCUUGGGAUCGAGUCCCACGUCGGGCUCCCCGCAGGGAGCCUGCUUCUCCCUCUGCCUGUGUCUCUGCCUCUCUCUGUAUUUCUCAUAAAUAAGUAAAUAAAAUCUUCAAAAGAGAAAGAAAACUGCAGGCCCCAAAUUCAGUCACUUAUGUUAAGGCCUCAUGGCAGUAAACCAAGACUUAGCACUUCACCCUCCACCCCAACGUAAACUUUGACCUGCCAAACUGGAGGUAUUUAUGAUCGAUCCCUUCCAUUCCCCUUAGGAAGGGUGACAGGACCUAAAACAACACAUUCUUUGCUAAUAAUUCCCUUCCCCCUCCCUCUCUGCCUUUAAAAACCUUUCCUUUUCUGUAGCACUAUGGAGGUCCUUUCCAUUUGCUUGGGAGGCUGCCCUAUUCAUGCAUCGUUUAAUAAAGCCAAUUAGAUCUUCAAAUUUA